rnacentral:rRNA from 1 species
UGGGGAAUAUUGCACAAAGGGCGCAAGCCUGAUGCAGCCAUGCCGCGUGUAUGAAGAAGGCCUUCGGGUUGUAAAGUACUUUCAGCGGGGAGGAAGGGAGUAAAGUUAAUACCUUUGCUCAUUGACGUUACCCGCAGAAGAAGCACCGGCUAACUCCGUGCCAGCAGCCGCGGUAAUACGGAGGGUGCAAGCGUUAAUCGGAAUUACUGGGCGUAAAGCGCACGCAGGAGGUUUGUUAAGUCAGAUGUGAAAUCCCCGGGCUCAACCUGGGAACUGCAUCUGAUACUGGCAAGCUUGAGUCUCGUAGAGGGGGGUAGAAUUCCAGGUGUAGCGGUGAAAUGCGUAGAGAUCUGGAGGAAUACCGGUGGCGAAGGCGGCCCCCUGGACGAAGACUGACGCUCAGGUGCGAAAGCGUGGGGAGCAAACA